UACGGGGGGGGGCAAGCGUUGUUCGGAAUUACUGGGCGUAAAGGGCUCGUAGGCGGCCAACUAAGUCGGAUGUGAAAUCCCCAGGCUCAACUUGGGAACUGCAUCCGAUACUGGAUGGCUUGAAUUCGGGAGAGGGAUGCAGAAUUCCAGGUGUAGCGGUGAAAUGCGUAGAGAUCGGAAGGAACACCAGUGGCGAAGGCGGCUACCUGGACAGAUACGUGACACUGAGGCGCGAGAGCGUGGGGAGCAAACAGGG
rnacentral:rRNA from 1 species